CAAAGUAUGGCAAUAUGAAAGUAAUAGACACACUCCAAUUUAGAUUUAAAUUUUUUAAAACGUUUUUUUUUUUCCUCAGACGCAGAGUGAUACUGAAUUGUGCAAAGGAAUUAGACGUCAUACGUGGUAUGGUUAUUAUACCACGGCUAUGAACCAAUCAGAUUGCUUGAAUUGAGCUACCCGUUUUAUAAUGCUUAAUUAUUACGUCUGAUAAACGCCAACGGGCAACUGUGUUUAUAAACUGCAGCUCAGAAAAGAUAACCGCGUCACGCGUGAACAUGCGUUCAUAUGCGCAUGCACGAAAUUAACCUCUGUGGGGUCCAGUCCAGACAAUAUAUUGGCGUGAUAGCACUCCUCAUAGGUGCACAUAAUUUUAAAACAAGACAAUGAUUAUCUAGUCUCUCAGUCAAGGUUUAGUUACAACUCUGGACUAAUGCAAGAUGGAAAGCAAUGGAUUGACAUUGACUACUGAUUAAAUAUUCUUAUUCUUAGACUGACAGAUAGAGCAAACUGUUUUAAAGGAGGGAGGACUGUAGUGGGAGCACUGGGGUGUCAGGUGGGACUGUGUGGCCAUGGAAAAUGGUUUACAUGGCUCACGGGUCAGGUAGGAGGGCCCCAGGGAGGUCCGGACCGGCUCUGCUCAGAGGAACCGCCAAGCGUUUCCAGGUAUGCUUGGGGCGCUAUCUGAGAUUAUCCUCUUCUGUUCCCGAUGCUGACACAAUAGCCUAACAGUCCACGCCACAGCGAGCAGCUAUCUAGCAGGCUAUAACAUUCGCUAGCUGCUGACAUUAACUACAACAGCACAGGUGGCUACCUAGCUGCUAACUAGCAUGUAUCUUAUAUACACCGAUAGCCAACGGCUGGCAAGCUACGCAACGAAAAUAAUCAUCCAACGCUUUGUUGGGAAAAUAUAGAUAAAACAGUACCCAACGCUUGGUUACUGAAAGAAAAAUAACGUUACCGAUAUCGCAAUGAAUCCGCUUUCACCGGAGAUUCUGGAACUCUCUACGUUGCGCACCGCAGAGGGGUCCACUCGCAAUACAAUUUUUGCUUCUAAACACAAACGUACUUGUGUGGGCAAAGACACGGUUUCUUCACUUCAAGUCACACAAAAAAUAACAUCCCGAAAAUUCUAAGACCACGAAAACUGGAAUAAUCGACCGCAGUAAUAAUCGAACACAGCUGCUUGUACAAUGUACAAUCUGGAGUGCCCCGAAUAUCUGCCUCGGCAUUGCAUUUUGGCCCAGUAAUCCCGCCCUCUAACCAAUAGCAUCAGCUAGAACAUGAGUGACGAUCGCAAUAACCAAAUCAGUAAAUACAAAAAAAAAGUAAUCCGGCUAAUGUGUGCCACCACACGUGUGUAGGCAGUACAUUUCAAUCAAACUUCUAAGAAUGUCAUAACUACAUAAAACGACAAUUUGAACGUGACGCUCAGUUUUACGGGUUUAUUGAAAUACUGGUCAUAUUAAGUGUUAGAAACAAUGCUUAAAGCUAAAAUAUAGCCACAAGCAACAAUGAAUGGGCCAAGCCCUACGGGGCCACCAGGUAGACGAGUAAUCAGAACAACCCCUGAACAAGACACCAGUCCAUCACAGGGUGAACAGACACAUUGACACACACUCUCACACUUACACCUAUGGGCAAUAUUGCAUGUCCAAUUGACAUUACCUAAACGUGUUUGGACUGUGGUAGAAAAGCAGAAUAUCCAGAGGAAACCCACAUGAACACAGGGACAAGGUACAAACUGAAAGCGGACGCACCCCGAACUUGAAACCUCCAUAUUGUUAGGCAGUAGUGCUACCCAUUUGCACCACUGUACUGCCCCCCACUGCAUAUCAAGCUUAAACAUAAGCAGUGCCAUAAAAUGCUGUGUGCCUUCUUGGAACAUUGUAAUAAGAAGUGCCAACGCUGUUGGAGGAGUGCAAUUUUUGGGUAUUUGAAAAAAUCUAAAAUCGUGGGAAUAAUGGCAGAGAACAUGCCAUAUCAGCUGAAUAUAACAUGUCCCUGAUUAGAAAAGGACCCCCCAUUUUUCAACUCCUUUUUUUGGUGGAAGAAUUUUGAAGAUCAAUUCUUAAUUUUUAAUUUCAUUUGACAUGAAUUUAAUAAAACACAAGGAAUAAAAUAAGGUAUGCUGAUAUAUUUUCUACGUGUUUUAAAUGAAUUGUCACAUUUAAAAUAAAAAAAAUGUAAUCACGUUUUCAAUGAAUAAGUUAUUUAAAUUAAAUAAAAAAACUAGUCUACUGGGAUUUCUAAUACCGUUGAACCAUCGCCUUGUGAAUAGCAACCAUUUCACAGAUAAAUGGCGCCAUCUGCUGUUGUUAAUGUAUAAUGACAUAAAGUCUAGUUCUACCAGGUAAGACAACCCCACUUUCCAGAUGCAAUUUCUGAAAAAAAAGAAUGCCGUCUUAUAUUCAGGCCAAUAUGGUAAGUCCAAGUGUUUCUUCAACACUAUUUAGUGUAUUAGUUGUGGCAGUAUGUCAGAAAGUGCAGGAGAUGUGCCUAUUUUAAGUGCUGCAAACUAAUUGUAUCUUAGCAGCCAUGCCAUUUGGACAUUGAACUAUGUGUUGAUUUCCCAGUUAGGACCUGACAUGUAAUAAUGUAAUGAUCUACAAAAAAAACUGGUCGCAAUAUCUGCUUUUCUUUGUGUGUUCUGUGACUUGUGAUGUCCAUUGGGAAAAAAUGUCAUUAAAAUCUAAGCACGUGGACAACAUUGGUGCUAAACCUGUUUUUCAGUAUAGCACCCCAAUGUGGCCAAAUUUCACUAAACUUGGUGUGUGCAACCCAUGCCUCAUGGUAAGCACGUGUACCGUGUUUUAUGCCAAUGAGCAAAAGCAUUGCAGAGAUAUGGCCACUCUUUCUUUAUGGUGCCUUCAUGGGUGAAUUUGUGGGUACACUGCGGCCAUAUUGUUCAACCUGGCAACUAUCCUUUUAACUCUUAAAGACAAUUGCCCAGAAUUAAAGGUCAGGGGUGCAGAAUUUGUUUUUUUUUUUUUUUGCUUUCUUGCAUAACUUAGAGUUCUGGAAAAUUGAAGUCUAAUGUCUGGGUGAAGAUAAAAUAGUUUCAUUUUUGUCUGGUAGUAAGGACAGCACCCCAAAUGUACCAAUUUGGUGGUGCGAGAAGCAUACUGUCCUAUCAUGUAGUGUCUGGAUUCCUUAGUCUGUCACAGCUGCAUAGCCAGAAAUCAGUGAGCCUUUAAUUAACCGUAACCCAUAACGUGUCAAAAAUGACCCUGCCAAGUGUUUCUUUUCUACAUCUUGGUAAUUAACCAAUGUUAUCAUUUAAUGUUCCAGGUAUUCUUCAAAAAACUUGUUUUAGAUGUGCACAAGUCAUGGUUUUUGUUUUUCCUUUUUUACUAUUUUAAUAAAUUCACUUUUAAAUCAGUACCUCAAGUUUACAUAGCGUGGGUCAAAAUGACCUAGAUAGAAUCCCUAUUGAAUUUAAUGCAUUGCCCUGAUCAAAAUGACCUGACUAGCUGUGAAGGUUCACAACAUCAGCAGCUGGUGCUCACAGUGCAACACACCAGUGUGUAAAGAUGAGAGCAAAAUUGAUAUUGUUAUUUAUCAACAAUGUAUACACUGAGAUAAGAGAGCAAAACAUGGAUCAAACAAGGAUGCAUACACACACACAUAGAGAGAGACAAAAAACAUAUUAAACACCAAACCAACACCAGCAAAUAAAUGCGUGAUCCAAAUGGAAGUAAAUAAAAUGUAUUAAAAAAAUUAUUCAAAUUAUGUGCCUCCGUUUUGUAAAACUCACACUUUAAUGUAUGUGUGUCAUUUUUGAACCAUGUUAUGCAUUCUAAGAGGUUCCAGUAACUUCUAGGGUAAUUGUGUAGCCAAUACCUAAUCAUAUUCUGUAAGCACUGAGACACAUAACCUGCCACUUGCUAUGCAAUGCUUCCAAGAAGCUCAGUUACAGAGAAGGACAUUUGCAAGUUUUUCCCUUGUCUUUUAUUGGUCACCUUUCUGAAUAUGGUAGUCAGUGAUGAUGCAAUAGUAAAAUGACAUCAAUGAUGACAUCUAUGUAGUUAGGUGAUUGAUAUUGAUCCCACAUUGGCGUCUUCGUAAAUAAGACACUUGGAUGGACCUGUGUUUCUUAUGGGGGUUCAAAGCUUAGCGAGGCCCACCUGUGGCUACACACAGAGUCAAUUAAAGAAGAAUAAAACACUUUCAUCAAUGUCUUGUGUACAUUAAUCACCUUAAUUUCCUUUAAAAUAAAGUAUGCAUUUAAAAUUAGUGUUUGCAUGAAACAUUAAUUUGUCAUCAAGGAAUGUCCCCAAGUGCUUGUAUUGUUGCACAUGCAGGAGGCUCACGCCAACAACCUGUUGUACAUUGUACAAUUCAGGUGUGGAGGUGUUUGUUCUUCCUGACAGAAUUUUUUUAAAAGUCCAGGGAAUCUGAACCCUAAUGUCUGGGUCAAGCCACAACAAUGUAUCAUUUUUGUCUGACAGUGAAGAGGGCACAGAGAUGUAUGGUAUCCGAAGUCUAUAUAUAUGUGUGUCCUCUAAGACAGUGUCCCACGGAGAGCAUUGCUUAUGAGGAGAAGUCUAUAACCAUGGCCAGCCCUGCCAAAAUAGCAAAAGAAGAGUCCGAAACAUUAGAAGGCUUUUUGCACUGUGUCUUGCCGAGCACAGUUUCAAAGCGCAAUGUAAAAUACUUUAAUGCAGUGCUUCAAACUGGUAGAGAUGAAUAUCAUAAAGUUUUGCUCAAGCCUGCAAAAACAUCACGGCAGUGAAGCUGAGGAACGUGAAGCGAAGCAUUAGUAAGUCGUAAUUUUUUUUAAAUGAAAGUAAAUACAACAGGCAAUUGUAAUUCACACCAAGUGGUCAUUUAGCCUAAAUUGAAAUCAUGUUUACUGAUUGUUGUUAUGUUUUCUAGGCUUCUCGGAUCCUGCCGGGUUUCACAUCCUAUGCAACAGAGCUACCAGCUUCCAGGUGGUCAAGGUGCCAUUUUUGCCAACGGUCCCUCCCAGCAGUUCAAAACUGUACAUUGCCAAGGUGCAAGCGCUUGGACCUAGGCAAACUGUCAGUGUCAUGGAAGCGAAAAUUCUGGCCCAGGGAACCCUGAGCAAAGUUGUCCCUGUGAAUGGAACAGACUGCGAGCUAAAAGUAUUCCAGAUCGGCGAUUCAUCAGGACAGGUGAAACUUACUUUGUGGGACAAACAGAUUAUUCAAGUGGGUGCUUUGAAAUCCUAAAAGUUAACCUAUCGACAAGAGAAAGGAAAGGAGGAAUAUAUCUGUCGGGGAGUCCAUCCACUACGAUCACAGAGGCUGAUUGCAGUGAACUUGGUGAGGGCGAGAAGCUUUCCAAAUUGUCAGGAACUGUUAGUGGAAUACAGGUGAUCUGCAAACGUCGCUGUCCAAAAUGCCAGACACCCCAGGAUGAGUUCAAAGCCAAGUCAUCGGUCCACAGAUGUGAGUGCUGCAAACUGCUGCAGAAGUCAUGCUGCUACUCCACAACAGUAUAGAGGCACCAUGUCACUGACAAUCAACGGCACAGAUCAUGGACUGACGGUCACAAAUUCCGCAAUUAGUGC